GACAGAGGUGCCAAGCGUUAGGCGGAAUCACUGGGCCUAAAGCGUGUGUAGGCGGAUUCCUAAGUACCUUGUGAAAUCCCACGGCUCAACCGUGGAACUGCUCGGUAUACUGGGUAUCUUGAGCCACUUAGGGGCGACCGGAACAAAUGGUGGAGCGGUGAAAUGCGCAGAUAUCAUUUGGAACGCCAAUGGUGAAAACAGGUCGCUGGGAGUGUGCUGACGCUGAGACACGAAAGCCAGGGGAGCAAACGGG
rnacentral:rRNA from 1 species